rnacentral:misc_RNA from 1 species
CUAAAGUGGAAAGGAGGCACACAUUACAGUUGAUGCCAAGACAAAGAAAACUUGUGAUAUCAAAGAGAACUGAGGUUUCUGAUGGUUUUGCUGUAGAUAGAACUGCUGUAAAGAAGCCAAAGCUGAUCAAAAAGCUCCACGAUUGUGUUGAAAUUGGCAAUUCUUCCGAAACAGAGAAAAGAUACCCCGCACAUGAUUUUGAACCUUUGAAAAAAUCAAAUAUAAUUCAUCCAGAA